GGGGUGCAGCAGGCGCGAAAACUCCGCAAUGCGCGCAAGCGUGACGGGGGAAUCCCAAGUGCCGUUGGUCUUAUGAUCGACGGUUUUUAGGAAGUCUAAGAAGCUUCCAGAAUAAGGGCUGGGCAAGACUGGUGCCAGCCGCCGCGGUAACACCAGCAGCCCAAGUGGUGACCACGAUUAUUGGGCCUAAAGCGCUCGUAGCCGGAUCAGCAAGUCCCUUGUGAAAUCGGGCCGCCUAACGGUUCGGCGUGCAAGGGAUACUGUUGGUCUUGAGGCCGGGAGAGGUCGGAGGUACUCCUGGGGUAGCGGUGAAAUGCUCUAAUCCUAGGGGGACCACCAGUGGCGAAGGCGUCCGACCAGAACGGACCUGACGGUGAGGGGCGAAGGCUAGGGGAGCGAACGGGAUUAGAUACCCCGGUAGUCCUAGCUGUAAAGCAUGCGGGCCAGGUGUCUAGCGCUCCUUGAGGGCGCUAGGUGCCGGAGGGAAGCCGUUAAGCCCGCCGCCUGGGAAGUACGGCCGCAAGGCUGAAACUUAAAGAAAUUGGCGGGGGAGCACCACAAGAGGUGGGACCUGCGGUUCAAUUGGAUUCAACGCCGGAAAACUCACCAGGGGCGACAGCUGGUUGACGGCCAGAUUGACGAUCUUGCCCGACUAGCUGAGAGGUGGUGCAUGGCCAUCGUCAGCUCGUACCGUGAGGCGUCCUGUUAAGUCAGGCAACGAGCGAGAUCCUCGCCCUUAGUUGCCAUCGGUGGAAAGCCGGGCACUCUAGGGG
rnacentral:rRNA from 1 species